AUUCGUUCCCCAUCCCCUGAUUCCUUGCCCUCUCCCUCUCUCUGGACGACCUCCCCCGCCGCCGCCGCCGACGCCCUCUCGCACAGCCUGCGCCCCCACGCCUUCUCUUCUCCCCUCACCUUUCCCCAUCCACCAGCGACCUCCUCCCAUUCCCCUCUCGCAGAUUGAGCAGCAGGCCCGAAUCAAUGGCCACGGUGGCGCGAGCGCCACGAUGCACCGCGGCCGUGCGAGGAGGAAGCUCGACGUGGCUCUGACCCUGGUGCCGACACCAUGAACAAGGCGACGGCUGGGUCAGGGCGGGUGCAGAAGGCCGUGGCGAGUCGGGCACCUCUAGGAAGAAGCAGCAGGCUUGGUGGAGCGGCGGAUGCGGGCGGGGCCGGCAGUUGUGGGAGGCCGGCCGGCCGGCCGGAGCGACAGGAGCAGUCCGGGAAUCACAUCGCAAGGCUGCCCUGGUUUGUUUUUCUUUGCUUUGUUCCUGUCAUCCUCGCCUCUGGUACCGGAAAGAUGAACAAGGAGGUCGAGCAGUGCGUGGCGUUGUCUCUAUCGUCCUUAUCCGGUUACAUGCUCCUCUACUAGGUCGAGUUUGCUGACCGCAUGGGGCAUGAGUGUGGCCACAAUGAAUCACAUGGGCAAGUUCAACUUCUCCAUGACUACAUCCAUCGUUUUCUAGCUACUUUGCAUUCUUCAGAUAUGCAGUUUCGUUUUAUAUCUAUAGACCUCAUCUUGGCAUGAGUGUUUCCAAAAAAAAUCACUGCUGCUGCCUUAACUCCAGUAUGCAUUUCUGCAGGUUUCAUCAGCGAUGCCUUUUUGUGAUAUGAUUGCUUUGUCGCAUGCUCAUCAAUUGUUUGUGAAAGUGACAACCCUCAACUGGGAUUUCUUAUCUGACUAGUAGCAUAUUUGUAUGUAUGUGGCUUUAUGUCUUCAAGCUACGUUAUGUCAACAAAUUAAAUUGUGCAGAUGUAGAUAUAUAAAUUAAGGUACUAGCAAAUUGACAUGUUGACAUGUGUCUCUUUCAUCCUUCCACAUUGAUAAAUCAUACCAACAGAACUGAAAUUUUGAUUGUCCCUCUCCUUCAACUCAACAAUUUGAGUUCUAGCAUACUAGAUUGACACCCAUUCAUCAUGCCAUCAAAUUCUUAAGGCAUUGUUCAGUAUUCAGUAUUAUUAAAAAUUGAUCUUAUAUUAUUUGUAUCUCCUUGGAGAUAAUCAUAUCGUUUCAGUUUGGUAUUUAUUGUUUUUGAGUAAGCGAAGGUAUAUAUCUGUUCACCCUUCUAAGGUGUAGAACGAGAUCAUCCACUUCGAAUUGUCCAGGAGUGUUUGGGAGAAAAUCUUCCGUUGCUUAGUUAUGGUACUGAACCUUGGCAUGUCUUGGUUCUUCUUUAGGAUUCACCUAUAUUAACUGUGGUGAACAUCAUUGCUGAGAAGAAGACACAUUUAAGCUAUCAAUUCUAGAUCUGUAUUUUUUAGGCUAUGCAGCUGAUACAUUUCUUACUUUGCUAGCUUCACUAUUUGUAUCGGAAAAGACUCUUUCACGAUCGGUCAUUCCAACGCUUGAAGCGAUCCUUCCGCCCACAAUCAGUUUCCGAUCUGGAUGUCUCCCUUUCCAUAUCAACAACGCUGGCCGCACCUACUCCUUGGACCAUCCAAGCAGCCCAUCCAUCCAUGUACUUGGUAAUACGCACGUAAUCUCUCUCCCCCUUGAUUUUCAGGGGUGGGGGUCGGGGGCAAACCCAACUUUCCUUCUAAAUCCUUGACAAAACUAAUAAAAAAGCGCCGCACUUUCCUAAUUAGCUAACUGCUUCCUGUCGGAAAGCGAGUGGUCCAGUGCGCGAGCGCGCAUUAGCCAUGCCCAUUUGUAUCUCAGGGCUGUGAUGUAUAUUCUUUCUUUUCCAAUGCACAUGAGUUAGCAUAUUUAAGUACAACGAUGCUGAAUGGGAGACAAUUUUUUUUCAUUCCGUGUGCAUGUUAUGUAGGUUUUUUCCCCAAUGAAAUAAGCCAUCUUUUCUUUCCUAUAUAUUGGCUUCAAACUGGUGCUGAACAGACCCGCGUCAUAAUUAUUAUGAUGGCCCCUCUACUCUAUUCUGAUACGUGUUUUACCUCCUUUGGUCUUAACGUCAAUUGGUUGGCUUGGAACGAUGGCAAGAGCAACCAUGGCCUGCAAUCCUUUCCUUGCGAGUUCUUUGUGAGCUAAUCUUCACUUGGAUGCCUUUUCAUAAAUUGUUUUGGCCAUCAACUUCUUUUGUGCUUUGUAGCACCAUUUGUGUUAUGUGCAUACUAGGUGUUUAAUUAAAAGCUCCUGUGCAGGGCCUAUGAGGGUCCCUAUUCAUCUGUUUAAGGUAUAAAAUGGUAGAGCAAGGUCUCGUUAGCAAUCUUGUUUUCUCAUUCUGGUUGAACGCUAUGCUGAUGUAGAAGGUGGUGAAAUUAUAUUUGGAGGAAUGGAUCCUAAAUACUACAUAGGUGAGCACACAUAUGUCCUAGUCAUCCAGAAUGGAUAUUGGCAGUCCACAGGUACUGGAACAGGAUUUUGUCCUGACGGUUGUGCCACAAUUGUUGAUUCUGGACCUUCAUUGCUUGCCGGUGCCACGGUGCACGAUCCGCACAAUGGUUUUCAUGGUCAGUUUAAGUCGAGUGCUGAGAGACUUGGUGAUGAGUUCGGUGCUUCUGCUGGUGCAUACGUUGGUUUUGGUACAAUAGCUAUUUAGCUAAUUAUUUGUUCUGUCUCAUAAGUAGAAUGAUCCAUUGCUGUUGAUUGUAAAUUAAUAAAUAGAUGCAGCAGACUAGGUGAGUAGCUACAUAGCUAAUUAUUGAUCUUGUCUUGGGUGAAAGGGUGCGUUUGUUAACUCAGAGACUAAAAGGUAACCCAGACUACUUUAUUUGUUUACUGUCCUUCUGAAACCUUAUUUGUUUAGCUUUUGCUGAUAAACUCAACUGCAUCUCAGUUUUCUCUUCCUUUUUCUUGGAUUGCAGGUUCUGAUGCGCGAGAUUCUUCUGGUUGCUGUGGCGCACGCAAGCCUGGACGACCACGCCGCCAACUGGUUUACAUUGGAUCAGUCUAUGUACCACUGGGCUCUCAAUGACUACUACGAUAGCACCAACAAGGUAUAUCUUCUUCCUGAACGUAUCUCAACGAGGCUUUCACAUCCAGGUUCAGCUGCCACAAACAUAAAUGUGGCUAUGUUGGAAGAUGGAGUUUACCACAGAUGGAGUGCAGUCUAGAAGUUAGAAUGAUGGAACGCUAUAUCCUGCUAUACAGGGUUGGUUGCUUAGCGCCUACUCCUUGCCGGAUUUGGUGAUGAUGCCAAAGGAAGCAAUGGUGUUGGGAAGGCUGUAGCGGUUCGAGCAGAAAGUGUUCAGUUCAUCUUUCAUGGUUAAUUCUUUGCAACAAUUUGAUAAGAUGCUGAAAUCAAAGGUGUAGCCUCUAUUUGAUGAGCAGAGUUGCUAUAAACUCGACUAGAACACAAGGAGGAGUAUGGGUCUGCAUGUACAUAUAAGAAGAAGAUGGCUUGUGGUGAUUUGUGUCUGUUUUCAGUUGUGUCGACAACGAGAUCUUCAUCAUAGACCUCAAGAAGGGCGCCGUCUCCAUAGGCCAUGCCGUGUCAUUGCACCUGUUUAUGCUGAAAUGUCAAAGAAUUAUCCUCAACUGAUGUUCCUGCCAAUUGAUGUUGAUGACCUAAUGGUAAUUCCAUCUUACAUUUGUUUGGGUAAAAUGACCCUAAAAAGUCCAGUUGGACAUGUAAUAUUGACCGAUGCUUUGUUAAUUCACAAAUGUUCAGCCAAACCUCAAAGUAUGCAGUGUAUCUUCUUAUCUUGUUAUUUCCUGUUUCAAAGAAAUGUAGGCAAACACAUAAAUAUGUAUGCAGUCCUGUAUAUUUUUAUCUUGCCAUUCCCUGUUUCAAAGAAAUAUAUGCAAACAGGUAAAUAUUUGUUACUGCCAAUUUUGUGGAGUGUGGUGGAGUGCUUUUGUCACCCUGAUAGCUCGACGCUGUGAUGAAGAGCGGGUUGUUCUGGUGCUUCCAGAGUUGACCCGCCUUAGUUAGCUACUUAGCUUUAGAUGUGAUCACUAAUGCUUAUUAACUGUAGUUGUAGUUUCAGAAGUAGCAUGCUAGCAGUCAUAUAUUGGCUAAGUCGCAUUUGUGUUCGGUACAUUAAGAUGAAAAUCACAAGAAUUCCGAUGAAAGACAUCAUGCUGAUUCUGACGUGGAAAAGGAUGAUGCCAAGCCUCUGGAGGACUUUGAAAGUACUCAGUGUGUGAGAGUUAAGAGAGAAUCUGCUGAAACUGAGGUGAUAACAGAUCAGGUAAUUUACUUCUAUUUUAACAGAGCAGUACUCAGAGUGAUGCCUUGUCUCUCUAGUGCUUGCAAGCAUUUUGACGUUUAGGGCUUUCGGUUCCCUUUUUAGAUAUGUGAUAAGGCAACCCAUGCAAAAAAAUUCACUGGGAAAAACUACAGUCUCCUGACAAAGUUACAGAUGCUUUGUUUAACUUGAUGAUCCAUAAACAAGAUAUAGAUCUGCAGCUCAUUAGAAUUCAACUUUUUUGCCUGCUGCUUAUCGUCCAUCGCAUCUUUAUGGUUGCAUUUGCAUGUUCAGAACUGGUUUGACCAUCUCCUAUAUGAAUGUAUGCCAUAUGCGUAUGCUUGGUGUGCCAGUUAAAAGAUGUGGUGUGCCAGUUAAAAGAUGCAAAUGGUAAACGACAAGACAGAACAUCUUUAUGUUCCUAAGUCUAUAUUAGUUAUUUUAGAUCUUUAAGAUAUCGUACAGACAAGAAAUCGCAUGCAUGAUAGUAUAACACAUAUCCAUCUGAACUAAAAUUGGGUGUACCAAGGGCUGGGGCAACUGGGUUAGGGUAUAAAUAAAUAUGUUUCUUUGUGCUGAUUUUUCCUUAUCAUCUUGCUAUGUUCGUCCAGCUAGGGAAUCACGAGGUUUUCAUGUCCAACGGAACACAAGCCUUUUUUAAAUACAUGUUACUUCAGGCACCGCGUUUCAGAUCCACGCCGCUUUAUUCAUGUGUUGGGUUGCCAUUUUCGAGCCACUUAAUUUACGGGUUGGGAUUGUUGUCACGGUUGUUUAAUACCAAAUAUAUUAUCCGGAUUGCUAGAUUUUUAUUUGUGUUCGUAUCAGAGGCUGCAAAGAAUCUUGUAGUUGCGACGACAGCGGCACCUUCAGUUCGUGCUUUGAGGGCACCUAUUACAAAUACAUCUUACGGAUCAGGUAUGUAUCAUAUGGCUGCUUGUCUCUCCAGCACACAUGAAUUAUAGCCUUAAUCGUGUGCAGAAGUAACCUUUUAUGUCCCCUUUGGGCGCUGCCAUCGUCCUCGCACCGUCGCGCGCGGCGUCGGAGACACGGAUGAGGUCGAGCAGUCUGUGCUUUCGUGUUCUUUCCUUGGCGUGUGGAGCCGAGGAUUCGGACGAGGAAGCCAAGCAAUCUGUGGCAUCUUCACCGGCGUCCUCUUGGUGUGCGGCUCUGGAGGGAUGGACAAGAAGGCCAAGAGCUGGAAGUGCAGCUAUAUCUGUAGUGGUUUGUUUGAUGGGGAACUAUCUUUGUAUGCCAGUAUACGCUGUAGUGGUUUGUAUUGAUGAUUCCAUGCUGAAUUUCUACUCAGUACCAAAUGAAUAAACUGUCACCGCACUAAGCCGAGUUCAUGCAAUUGUGUUACGCAAAUCGGAAAUGGAUGCAUACAUUAGUCAUAUAAGAAGGUGAAAGGGGCGCACCCUACCUGGC
rnacentral:rRNA from 1 species